UAAUACACAUCGUAAGUAGUCAAUUGGAUUGUUCAAUAAUCUAUAUUUUUAACACAGUGUUCUUUGAGAUAAUAUAUAGAUAUUGUCUCUAUAGAUUGUAAGCCUCAUAUCAGUUUUGUCUGUUCCUCGUAACUAGGUCCCUUCUGCGAUCUGAAAAUGUAAAAAAUAAAAUUUGAAAUACAAUUACAUUUUUGUACAUACAAAACAGUAUUACGGAUGCACUUAUAAGGUGUAAGAGGCAAUACAAAAACAUGAACUAAAAAGUUUCAAGAAUGUACCUUUUUAUAUACCAUUCCGUAUUACGAUUUGUAAUCUCUUAU
rnacentral:lncRNA from 1 species